CCUACGGGGGGCAGCAGUGGGGAAUAUUGCACAAUGGGGGAAACCCUGAAGCAGCGACGCCGCGUGAGGGAAGAAGUUUCUAGGUAUGUAAAGCCCUAUUAUCAGGGAAGAAAAUGACGGUACCUGACGAAUAAGCACCGGCUAACUCCGUGCCAGCAGCCGCGGUAAUACGUAGGGGGCAAGCGUUAUCCGGAAUUACUGGGGGUAAAGGGGGCGUAGGCGGGAUAAUAAGGCUGGUGUGAAAUCCUGUGGCUUAACCCCGGAACUGCCUUGGAAACUGUGCGGCUGGAGUGUGGGAGAGGUAGGCGGAAUUCUUGGUGUAGGGGUGAAAUGCGUAGAUAUCAAGAGGAACACCGAUUGCGAAGGCGGCUUACUGGAGCGUAACUGACGUUGAGGCACGAAAGCGUGGGGAGCAAACAGGAUUAGAUACCCCGGUAGUC
rnacentral:rRNA from 1 species